CCUACGGGUGGCUGCAGUGAGGAAUAUUGGUCAAUGGGCGCGAGCCUGAACCAGCCAAGUCGCGUGAGGGAAGACGGUCCUAUGGAUUGUAAACUUCUUUUGUCGGGGAGCAAAAGGCGCCACGCGUGGCGUUCCGUGAGUACCCGAAGAAAAAGCACCGGCUAAUUCCGUGCCAGCAGCCGCGGUAAUACGGAGGAUGCGAGCGUUAUCCGGAUUUAUUGGGUUAAAAGGGUGCGCAGGCGGAAGAUAAAGUCUGCGGUAAAAUUCAGGGGCCCAACCUCUUCGAGCCGUGGAAACUGGUUUUCUUGAGUGAGCGAGAAGUAUGCGGAAUGCGUGGUGUAGCGGUGAAAUGCAUAGAUAUCACGCAGAACUCCGAUUGCGAAGGCAGCAUACCGGCGCUCAACUGACGCUCAUGCACGAAAGUGUGGGUAUCGAACAGGAUUAGAUACCCGGGUAGUC
rnacentral:rRNA from 1 species